rnacentral:piRNA from 1 species
UCCCAAAGCUUGCUGUGAGUGUGUGU